rnacentral:rRNA from 1 species
GAGUUUGAUCCUGGCUCAGGAUGAACGCUAGCGGCAGGCUUAACACAUGCAAGUCGAGGGGUAACAGGGGCGCUUGCGCCCGCUGACGACCGGCGCACGGGUGCGUAACGCGUAUGCAAUCUACCUUUUACAGGGGGAUAGCCCAGAGAAAUUUGGAUUAAUACCUCAUAGCAUAUGGUCUUGGCAUCAGGACCAUAUUAAAGAUUUAUCGGUAAAAGAUGAGCAUGCGUUCUAUUAGCUGGAUGGUAAGGUAACGGCUUACCAUGGCGACGAUAGAUAGGGGCCCUGAGAGGGGGAUCCCCCACACUGGUACUGAGACACGGACCAGACUCCUACGGGAGGCAGCAGUGAGGAAUAUUGGACAAUGGGCGGGAGCCUGAUCCAGCCAUGCCGCGUGCAGGAAGACUGCCCUAUGGGUUGUAAACUGCUUUUGUACAGGAAGAAACACUCCCUCGUGAGGGAGCUUGACGGUACUGUAAGAAUAAGGAUCGGCUAACUCCGUGCCAGCAGCCGCGGUAAUACGGAGGAUCCAAGCGUUAUCCGGAAUCAUUGGGUUUAAAGGGUCCGUAGGUGGAUGAUUAAGUCAGAGGUGAAAUCCUGCAGCUCAACUGUAGAAUUGCCUUUGAUACUGGUUGUCUUGAAUUAUUGUGAAGUAGUUAGAAUAUGUGGUGUAGCGGUGAAAUGCAUAGAUAUCACAUAGAAUACCGAUUGCGAAGGCAGAUUACUAACAAUACAUUGACACUGAUGGACGAAAGCGUGGGGAGCGAACAGGAUUAGAUACCCUGUAGUCCACGCCGUAACGAUGGAUACUAGCUGUUCGGAUUUAUCUGAGUGGCUAAGCGAAAGUGAUAAGUAUCCCACCUGGGGAGUACGUUCGCAGAUGAAACUCAAAGGGAAUGACGGGGGCCCGCACAGCGUGAGCAUGUGUUUAUCGAUGAUACGCGAGGACUACAGGCUAAAUGUGAUGACAGUUAGAAUAGACUUUUCUCGACAUCACAGGUGCUGCA